AGGUCUUACUUUCGGGGGAGGCCUUACAUUUAGCAAUUCAGCAAAACCUCUACUAGGUCUUAUUUUCUGGGGAUGUCUUAUUUUCGGGGAAACAGGGUAGUUGCCGGGAGGUGGAGAAGAGGAAGACUCUGGGUGUGCCUUUUUGGAGGCGGCCCUCCUUCUUGAGGCCGCUUGUUUCCCGCCGGGCGGGUGAGGCGAGGGGACCUGGGCGCCCCACUUCCGGCGUUGCCGGGGAGCCGCGGGGGAUGCGGCCGGGAAGAGGCAUCGUCGGAGGCGGGAGGCAUGGCGCGGGCCUGAGGGGGCCGCGGAGGAGCCCCAUCCCAGGGCUUGCCCGGCAGCAGCAUUGAGGGCGGCGCCGUCGCCGUCUCCUGCCUAGCGGCGCCCGCCUUGCCCGGCUCGCCUUCCCCUCCUCCUCCUGCUGCUCCCUCCUCGCCGUUGUCCCCAAGACGGAGGAGGAAGGCGGAGGAGGAGGAGGAGGAGGAGGAGGGGGGGAAGGCGACGACGACGAGGGAGGCCAGGAGGAGGAGGAGGAGGAGGAAGAGGAGGCGGAGGAGGAGGAAGGCCAGGGGGAAGAUGAAGCUCCUGAAGCCCGCCUGGGUCAACCACAACGGAUCUGGGUCAUAUCAGAGAAGGUGAAUCAUCGGGAAAUCUUAUCUGCAGCCAUAGAUCAGGGAAGGCGGGGAGUGGUGCACCAAAGCUGAUGCUUCCUGUGUUCCUCACAUAGAGUCGGAUUAGGUGCAGCAAUAAUAAUAAUAAUAAUAAUAAUAAUAAUAAUAAUAAUAAUAAUCCCGCGAUCGGAUGCCGCCUUGUCGUUGGCGGAGUCUUAACAUGAUAUGAGGCCUGAGGCCUAACUGUGCCUGUCCCCUGGGCUGUGUAGGUUGCUAGGAGACCAAGUGGGCGGAGCUUAGCCCUCUAACUGGCAGCAAUUGGAUAAAACCAAUUAUUCCUUUCCCUCUAAUUAGGACUUUAUUUUUCUUUUCUUUUUGUUGUAUCAACCUAGAGCUGUGGAUGAUGGGUUGUGUUGUCAAAUUUUGAGGUUGGGUGGCCUGUCGUUUUGUUGUUUUGUCUGCUGCCCUGAUGCCAUCACUCUUUUAUAUAUAUACACUAGCUGUGCCCGGCCACGCGUUGCUGUGGCGUUGUCUGGUGGUGUUGGUGAGAAAUUGUUGAGGUAGUGGUGGUAUUGAAUGUCUGUUGUAUGGUUGUCUUUAUGUUUAGUAUGCACACCGAAGUGGAUUAUACGGCAGUGUGGAGUCAAGAUAAUCCAGUUCAAAGCAGAUAAUAUAAGAUUAUAAAUGGGUUAUAUAGCUGUGUGGAAGGGCCUUGAGUCUACACUGCCAUAUAAUCCAGUUAAAAUCUGAUAAUCUGUGGAAGAGGCCUAAGUGAGGCCUAACUGUGCCUGUCCCCUGGCCUGAGUAGGUUGCUAGGAGACCAAGUAGGCGGAGCUUAGCCCUCUAACUGGCAGCAAUUGGAUAAAAGCAAUUAUUCCUUUCCCUCUAAUUAGGAGUUUAUUUUUCUUUUCUUUUUGUUGUAUCAACCUAGAGCCAUGGAUGAUGGGUUGUGUUGUCAAAUUUAGAGGUUGGGGGGGCCUGUAGUUUUGUUGUUUUGUCCAUUGCCCUGAUGCCAUCACUCUUUUAUAUAUAUAGAUAGUUGACAGCGAGUAAAAUUCUGCAAAUACUUCCGCU
rnacentral:lncRNA from 1 species